CGCGUCGGCACAUACCUGACAAGAGAAAGCUCGACAGCCAGCGUCUCGAGACCGCCACGUGGAUCCACACAUCCACGCCACGUUGCUGAUGUGGCACGUAGGCUCCAGAAAGAGGCCCCUAAAAUACCGGAAGAGGGAUCAAAGCGUUGCCAAGGAAGUGCCUUCAGAGCCACAGCAGUCUGAACAUUGUUGUUCGGUUUCAUUUCUGAAAAACACGGACAUUCAUUGGUUGUUUUUGAACAGAUUUUUUGCUUUUUAUUCCACUGUACCUGCAUGUACCAUAUAUUUGUAAGGAAAUAUUAAUUUAAUAUUAAAUGCACCUAUUUAUUGAAAGGGUCUGUAUAUAAUGAUUUCACAAGCAUUUCAAAAAUCUCAUUAUUUUGGUUAUAAAAGUUCUAUACGACGGAGAGGAAGCUCUGUUUAUUUUCUGCUCCUCCACUAUUAUGCUGAUAAUACCCGCCGUCAUUGUCUUCAUUGCAUUUUAUUUGGCACUUGAGUGACUGCUGACAAUGAGAACAUGUGGAAUAACAACCGUGGUGAUGAUGCACUGCAGUAUUGAACAAUAAAGAAUAUUGAAG
ensembl:lncRNA